CGCGGGGAGACGGGGGAAGGAUCGCUGUCUGCGAGGCAAAUACAUCAAGUUCCCAUCGGUCAUUGCCAGCAGGUGGUGCUUUCUUCCACCCGGCCGGCAGACAAGAAGACGGCAAUCAACCAACCGCAGUCAGACUCAGAAUGGACACAGAUCUGAAAUCCGCAAUCUCCGUCUUCCUGUCAAAUUGUGAAGAUCACCA